CAGUUCUUAAAAUUUUAAUGCUUUUAAAGCUAAUUUAAAAUUACUGUAAUGACUCAUUUUUGCUCGGGCUUAGAGAAGAACCAAAUAAAAAAAAAAACAACAGUCAAUUAUUGCAAAGUCCAAAUUACAGAACAGGCUACAGACCCAAUACCCAAAUUUGCAAGCCCAUACAUGAGCCCAAAUGAGGACCAAACUAUGGCCCAAAAUGUUUUAACACCCUCGGAUGAAUCCUAGGGUUUUUGAAACCUUAGGCGCCGCUCCUCACGUGGUGUCAGCGCGUUAAGCGCCCAAGACAGACUCACCAUCCCAUCACUCCCGUCAACGCCUACAAAACAGAAACAGAAAGAGAAACAGAGGCAAGCAAAAGCAAUGGCAGUAGAAAACAAAGCCAAACAGUAGUAAACAGUGGCUAAAUGGUACUAAACAGUAGCAAAGGCAGCGAUAGUAGAAACAAGAAAUAUUAACAGCUGUAAUAUGGUUCGGCCAUAAAGCCAUGAAUAUCUUCAUUGUAUAAGGGGGGAUUUUCAUUCUUCGAAACAAAAAAAAAAUACAAAAGAAAAUUGAAACAGAAAGGUAAUUUUCGCUCUAUAUUUCGUUCAUUUUUUACUUAUAAGUUUUUUUUUCUCGUUUACAUAUGAAAAUAUAAAAAAAAAGAGAAAAGACUUACCUAAAUCGGUCGAUUCGUUCACCGUCGGUGAGGGCCACGCCAGAAAAGGAGAAGAAACCGGGUGUUUCUUUGUUGCUUCGCCAGAGUUUGGCCAAGUUUUCGGGGUUUCGGCCUCAGGUCCUUGCUCUACGCGCAACGGUCUCGAAAAGGGGAACUUUUGGGCUUCUCCGGCCACCGCGGACGGCGGCCGCCGCGGCAGUCCGGUGAUCGGUCCAUGGCCGGACAUGGGGUUGAGAGAGAAGAGAGGAGAGCAAAAUUUUUUAUUUUUUUGGAAAGAGGGGGUUAAAAU
rnacentral:lncRNA from 1 species